rnacentral:lncRNA from 1 species
UUGAAUACGUAAGCAGUGGUUACAAAGAUCUGGAUUCAGGUAUUUGAGUUAUCAGAAUUCUCUAUCAUUGUACAUAUAAUAAAGAACAUAGAAAUUAGUUAAAUUUAUCCAAAAAGACUAGUUCUUAUUAAUCUGCACUCCCCCAUCAGAACAAUGCUGUUGAUCUGUUUCCUGCCAUCUCAAUUUUAAAACUACUAGUUACAUAAUUUUGUGUGAUUAUUGUAUGAUUGCCUCCUAAAACGGCUCUAUGAGUUUUGUCUUAUUAAUACCCAAAUGGGCAAACUAUAUUUUUAUUUCAAACAGCAGAGACUACUAACUUUUUCCCUCAAAUCUAUCUUGUAUAUAUAUGGAUCAUCAACAACUCCUGACAACACUACUAACGUCUCCCUUACAGAUGGAAGCCCUCCUCUACUGUCUGUGGGACACUUAGUAGCCUGCCCAGGCCAUGCCAGAGGGAGUGUGGUAUACUGGAUGUGUGUCUGUGUGUGUCUGUGUGUCUGGCAGAUUAGGGUAGAAUGGUAUAGAAAGUGGGAUGAUUAAAGUACCAAACUAGUCUUUGGAUGGGAAACUUUCUUUUAAUUUUGUUACAAGUGGAAAGAAGUACAGACUGUGUGUAAAAUAUAUUUAAUAAUCUUCAGUUGAUUAAAAGUGUCUGACCUCCUGAAUAAUCCAUUUGAAACUUGGGUUAGGGAGACUAAGGCAUAUACAUUCAGUGCAAAGGUCUCCUUAGGAAUAGGGCUCAGAGUGAGGGUUUUUAAGGUCCUAUCUGCUAGGGAAGCCCUGCCAAACUUGACAUGUCAGGUCCCUGCUUAGUGUCCGUGCUGGCCCCAGUUAGCAAAAAUCAAACUUCUCAGGUUUGUAUGCCUGUAGUUUCAGACACUUGGGAGGCUGAGGUGGGAGGAUCACUUAAACCUGGGAGGUGGAGGCUGCAGUGAGCUGUGAUUGUUUCACUGCACUCCAGACUGGGUAACAGAGCAGACUUUUCUCUCAAUAGAUCCCAGUCACCUCUCCUACCUAACCUCAGCUCACUGGUCACCUGCAAGGGCUGCUCAACUUAACUAUGCGCCUACAGUUCAUGCCUUCUUUGAGUGAAAUCCAACCUCAUACCCCUUUCAAGCCUUAGUUCAAAGUUUUCCCCCUUACAGGGACCUUAGGAGAAUAGGUAGGAUAUAAUCAAUUAAAAGGGCAUUCAGGAGGGAGUUAAGAGUAUUCAUGGGCUUUGGGGUCAGACAGACUUAGGAUUGAAUUUUAAUUCUUCUACUAAUUAGUUGUAUAGCCUUGACCAAGUUUCUUAAUCUCUCUAAAAUCAGGACAAUAAUACCUAUACCUCUCAAGGACAUGGUGAGGAGUAAAUAAGAAUGCUGUGAGAAUUGAACAGAGCCCUACAUACAGCAGAUACAUGAUCUGUUUCAUUAAGCACAUCACUCAUGACAUACUAUCUUGUACUGCUGUAGCUUUGCAUGUGUGUAACUGUUCAUUUGUUUGUCCGUAUAAUAAGUCCAUUAUAAUAAGUCCAUUAUAACCUUCUGAAGGUAGGAGUCGCAUCUCCUUUUCCUUUAAAUGAUCCAGAGUGCUUAUCGCUCUCUUGUGCACACAGUGUGACUUCAAUUAACAAUGAACACAAGCACAGUGGUGUCUGGCGUUUAAUCCAGAUGCUGAAAUGUAAGCUUACCCUGAAUGGCUGGACCCCAAGCAAACAGAUAAUACCAACUCAAAUGCAGAUCAACAAU